rnacentral:rRNA from 1 species
AUGCACUUGCAGAUCAUCAGUGGUCUGUGUCCUGGCUCCAUGGUGAAUGAUCCUCAUUUUGGUCAACCCGCUGUGGAAGCCUUUACUCGAGGAGGUGCUGCUGGUCCAGUGAAUAUUGCUUAUUCUGGAGUUUAUCAGUGGUGGUAUACAAUAGGAUUACGCACCAAUGAGGAUUUUUAUACUGGAGCUCUUUAG